rnacentral:snRNA from 1 species
UUGCUCGCUUUGGCAGCACAUAUACUAAAACUGGAACGAUACAGAGAAGAUCAGCAGGGCCUCUGAGUAAGGAUGACACAAACUUGUGAAGCAUUGUACAUUUUU